rnacentral:rRNA from 1 species
GACGAACGCUGGCGGCGUGCUUAACACAUGCAAGUCGAACGGAAAGGCCUCUUUCGGGGGGUACUCGAGUGGCGAACGGGUGAGUAACACGUGAGUAACCUGCCCUUGACUUUGGGAUAACUUCAGGAAACUGGGGCUAAUACCGGAUAGGAGCUCCUGCUGCAUGGUGGGGGUUGGAAAGUUUCGGCGGUUGGGGAUGGACUCGCGGCUUAUCAGCUUGUUGGUGGGGUAGUGGCUUACCAAGGCUUUGACGGGUAGCCGGCCUGAGGGGGUGACCGGCCACAUUGGGACUGAGAUACGGCCCAGACUCCGACGGGAGGCAGCAGUGGGGAAGAUUGCUCAAUGGGUGGAAGCCUGAUGCAGCAACGCCGUGUGCGGGAUGACGGCCUUCGGGUUGUAAACCGCAUUCGCCCAUGACGAAGCUUUGUGUGACGGUAGUGGGUAAAGAAGCACCGGCUAACUACGUG